GGAAGAAUAGGUAUGUGGUGAUCAACCCAACGAUAGAUAAGUAUGAGAGGAAAAUAAUUUUUUGAGAGAAGAGAUAGAGAGAGAUAUUUUCAUAUGAAUAACUAUAUUAGAAUUUUAAUAAUAUUUUUAUUAUUUUAUAAUUUUUAAAUUUUUUAUGUUUUCUCAAAUUUUGAUUUUUUUUUUUGCUAAACUGUUUUCAAAAUAGAACUUCUGGACCCA
rnacentral:lncRNA from 1 species